UCGAGAAUCUUUCACAAUGGGGGAAACCCUGAUGGAGCGACGCCGCGUGGGGGAUGAAUGGCUUCGGCCCGUAAACCCCUGUCAUCUGCGAUCAAACCUUUUCGGUGAACAAUCGAAAAGCUGAUAGUAGUAGAAGAGGAAGGGACGGCUAACUCUGUGCCAGCAGCCGCGGUAAUACAGAGGUCCCAAGCGUUGUUCGGAUUUACUGGGCGUAAAGGGUGCGUAGGUGGCGGAGUAAGUUCGAUGUGAAAUCUCUGAGCUUAACUCAGAAACGGCAUUGAAUACUACUUUGCUUGAGGGUUGGAGGGGGGACUGGAAUUCUCGGUGUAGCGGUGAAAUGCGUAGAUAUCGAGAGGAACACCAGUGGCGAAGGCGAGUCCCUGGACAACUCCUGACACUGAGGCACGAAAGCUAGGGGAGCAAACAGGAUUAGAUACCCUGGUAGUCCUAGCCCUAAACUGUGCACGUUUGCUGUGGGCGGAUUCGACCCGUCCGUGGCGAAG
rnacentral:rRNA from 1 species